rnacentral:rRNA from 1 species
UACGAAAGGAGCAGGUGUUAUUCAGAUUAACUGGCUUAAAGGGCGCGUAGGCGGGCUGCCAAGUCUGGGGUGAAAUCCCACGGCUCAACCGUGGAACUGCCUCGGAUACCUGGCGGUCUCGAGGGAGGUAGGGCAUGCGGAACUGUGGGUGGAGCGGUGAAAUGCGUUGAUAUCCACAGGAACUCCGGUGGCGAAAGCGGCGUGCUGGACCUCUUCUGACGCUGAGGCGCGAAAGCUAGGGGAGCAAACGGG